rnacentral:tRNA from 1 species
GCCCGGUUAGCUCAAUCGGUAGAGCGUGAGACUCUUACACUGAAGAUAACACGAAAUCUCAAGGUUGCGGGUUCGACCCCCGCAUCGGGCU